UACGUAGGGGGCAAGCGUUGUCCGGAAUCAUUGGGCGUAAAGCGCGUGUAGGCGGCUUGGUAAGUCUGCUCUGAAAGCCCGGGGCUCAACCCCGGGAGGCGGGUGGAUACUGCUGAGCUCGAGUCCGGAAGAGGCGAGUGGAAUUCCUGGUGUAGCGGUGAAAUGCGCAGAUAUCAGGAGGAACACCAAUUGCGAAGGCAGCUCGCUGGGACGUUACUGACGCUGAGACGCGAAAGCCAGGGGAGCGAACGGG
rnacentral:rRNA from 1 species